UACAUAAAAUAAUUGAUAUUUAAAAAGGGAUAAAUCAUAUACUUUUUUGUAUUAAGAAAAUAUUUUUAAAGUAUUCUAAUAUAUGUACACAUUACUGUUUUCAAUACAGUAAAUUUUAUUUUACAAACAUCCUAUCAUUUCUUUACCACACAAACUAUUCAUUAUACUUAUGGGAAUAAAGCUAAUUCAUAUUUUACAUAUAAAGGCUAUAGAAAGAAAACUUUACAUAAAUAUAAAAUUUACCGUCAA
rnacentral:misc_RNA from 1 species